rnacentral:sRNA from 1 species
UAGACGGUACGCCUCAUCGGAGAAGUGC